CGAGAGGGUUCGGCCCUCGGCGUACUGCUCAGUAACACGUGGAUAACCUGCCCUAGGGAAGGGGAUAACCCCGGGAAACUGGGGAUAAUACCCUAUAGGUUACAGAUGCUGGAAUGCCCUGUAACCCAAAGUUCCGGCGCCCUAGGAUGGAUCUGCGGCCGAUUAGGUAGUUGUUGGGGUAAUGGCCCAACAAGCCAGUAAUCGGUACGGGUUGUGGGAGCAAGAGCCCGGAGUUGGAUUCUGAGACACGAAUCCAGGCCCUACGGGGCGCAGCAGGCGCGAAAACUUUACAAUGCGGGCAACCGUGAUAAGGGAACCUCGAGUGCCUGUAAACGCAGGCUGUUCAGGUGUCUAAAACACACCUGGAGAAAGGGCCGGGCAAGACCGGUGCCAGCCGCCGCGGUAAUACCGGCGGCUCAAGUGGUGGCCACUUUUAUUGGGCUUAAAGCGUUCGUAGCUGGGUUGUUAAGUCUCUUGGGAAAUCUGGCGGCUUAACCGUCAGGCGUCUAAGGGAUACUGGCAAUCUUGGAACCGGGAGAGGUGAGGGGUACUUCGGGGGUAGGAGUGAAAUCCUGUAAUCCUCGAGGGACCCCUGGGGAAGGCGCCUCCCAAACGGCUUCGAAGUGAGGAACGAAAGCUGGGGGAGCAAACCGGAUUAAUACCCGGGUAGUCCCAGCCGUAAACGAUGCGCGUUAGGUUCGGGGCCCGAGUUACCGAGGGCCGAAGGGAAACCGGAAACGGCCCCUGGGAAGUACGGUCGCAAGGCUGAAACUUAAAGGAAUUGGGGGGGAGCAA
rnacentral:rRNA from 1 species